AACGAACGCUGGCGGCAUGCCUAAUACAUGCAAGUCGAACGAGAUCUUCGGAUCUAGUGGCGCACGGGUGCGUAACACGUGGGAAUCUGCCCUUGGGUUCGGAAUAACUUCUGGAAACGGAAGCUAAUACCGGAUGAUGACGUAAGUCCAAAGAUUUAUCGCCCAAGGAUGAGCCCGCGUAGGAUUAGGUAGUUGGUGAGGUAAAGGCUCACCAAGCCGACGAUCCUUAGCUGGUCUGAGAGGAUGAUCAGCCACACUGGGACUGAGACACGGCCCAGACUCCUACGGGAGGCAGCAGUAGGGAAUAUUGGACAAUGGGCGAAAGCCUGAUCCAGCAAUGCCGCGUGAGUGAUGAAGGCCUUAGGGUUGUAAAGCUCUUUUACCCGGGAUGAUAAUGACAGUACCGGGAGAAUAAGCUCCGGCUAACUCCGUG
rnacentral:rRNA from 1 species